rnacentral:lncRNA from 1 species
AUCCCGCACCUAAGCUGUUAGCUACAGCUAGGCCCGCAGGCCUGGGGUGACAAAUGUCAUAACAUUUCAACGCCUGAAGAACGUUGUUACAGGCAGUCUGGGUCAUUAGUAUGGUUAUAAAACUCACAUGGAGUAUUAAGAACUUAUUGAUUUACCGGGUUAUCAAAUGCCUUAGUGCUUUUAUACUUACACAAAUUUACUACUCUAGGCAUGAAAAACACGAUUGCAUUUCAGUGUUGGAACUUUUAAACUACCACACACUUAUGAACGGAUAUUGGAUUUAUAAAAGAAAACCUUCAAAACAGUCGAGUCUUUGUAGAAGACUACUUUUAUACUAUUAGGAAAUAUUGGAUUUCCUAGGAGUCUUUUGAAACAUCUGUAAACAAAUAUCAUUUGAUUUUAUUCAAACAUUGUCACUAAAUACUUAUGAACUCACCAGCUUAAAUGCUGACCUACUCUUUCAAAACUACUUGUAUUUCUCAGGGAUUCAGUAAUACAGGUAAACUACUGCUUUUGAAGAAGGGACGCUGCGGCGUUAGUUUAAUUUCAUUUUGACAACAUAUUGUAAUUGAUAUUUUGGAACUUGUAAUACCUACAAACGAUGUAACUUUUUCAAUUAUAUAUAUGUUGGUUGUGUUUACUUUCUUUACUAUGUAUUCAACUGUUUCGAUACUACAUGAAGUCAUCCGCCCUCGAACGAUUCCGCCGUUCUGGUUUGGGGGUGUGACAGAUUGGUAUCAGAGCAUUGUUUAUAGUGAACUAAGUAUAUCGAACCACAUAAGAUAUACAAACUAUAAAUGCAAAGGGACUCAAAGUCUUUGACAACACAUUUUUACACCUAAAACCUUGUUUCAUUUAACUUAGAUUGUUUUGGGUCGUAAAAGUACAAUUACAUACAUGCAAUAAGAAGUAUUAAGACAAGUUGGACACUACGAUUAAACCUCGACAUAUGUAAUCGGAUUUGGGACGAAUAUAGCCUGAUCAACUAUAUUUAUCCAAGAUUGGACUAACAUAUGUCGAGGAAUGGUCGUAGUGAGCAAAAAGUCAAAACUUACCAAAAUAAACAUUUGUAUCAAACAUACAAAUUUAAAUACUAUAGGAGUAUUUGGUACGUGCAAUAGUUUAAUCGACAUGCUUAGUUUUACAUGCUUCAAGUUUUGUUCAAUUCCUAUAACCCUAUUCUUGUAUAGUCAAAUGGCUGGAUUCAUUCCACACGGAGACCCCUACUAUCUCAACCAAGGUAACGGAGGAUGGGUCGAAGAAGAUCCCGAAGAGGAUGAAGAACCUAUCGAGUUGGAUGAAGGGGAUGACUCUGGGACAGACUCAGAACCAGAGGUAAUCAACCCACCACCCGCACAACCUCCUGUCUUUGUGAGAAACUUUCANGAAGGAUCCCCUUUUGGGGAAGUCACCUCCACCAUUGGAGCCAACAACAAGGGAUACGUCCUCCCUACGGCAUGUGUCGGAAUUUCUAUGAUGUCCGCGGCGGAGGUUCGGCCGAUCGAGCACUGCCAGUCAUGGUGGGCAAACUAGCCAACCAGUCCUAUCAAUCCGGGGCUCAAGCUAGCCGGAUUCGGGAAGUCAAUGUGGAAGUACAGGUGCAUACUUCUGACAUCCGCCGGCUGGAUAGGUUGCAGGAUGACACCCAACUCCGCGCUGACGCGUUCCAAGCACAAAUGAUUGCAGCCCUCUCUGAGCUGAGGGAACAGCAAGCCGCCUUUGAUAGGCGCCUUAUGGAGGCAAAACAAUCAGAUGCGGAGUCAAGCUCCAAGCGCAACCUACGUCCCAAGUAGUGCUUGUUAAUCCCAAAAUUUUGUUAUAAAAUAGGACUAUCGGCUAAAAAUCUUACUUUCUUUAACUUCCUGUAAUCGGAGACCUUUAGAAUGGUCAAAAUUUUCUAACUUCGGAUGUAACGCAACCAUAUGUUUAAUAUAUAUAGGGCAUAUCUCUUUUGUGUGUUAAAUAUGUGCAUUUCAGUCGAGUUCAUGAGUUUGUUUAUUUAUUGUUUAACUCCAUUGGUAAAACAAACUCAAAGCCCAACGUUGGUCAAACCAAAUUUCGAACUAUUAAAGAUAGUUAACUCAUUGUCAAUCAACUCUCAACCACCAAAACUUACGAUCUUUUAUUUUUUUCCUUAUCAACACGAUGCCGCCCCAUAGAUCUACACGCUGUGUCAACAACGCACCACCUCCACCACCACCUCCCCCAACGGAAAAUGCCGCUUUGAUAGCUGUUGUAACGGCUGCAGUAACAGCAGCAAUGGCCCAAAUGAGUAACAACGAUUCUGGUGGGGGAGUAAAUAGUUCUACGAAUGGCCAACGUCAAGGUCGUUCGGUGGAUUGUACAUAUAAGGAUUUCAUGAAUAGCAGACCCAUUACUUUUAAUGGGACUGGAGGGAUAAUGGCUCUAUCACAGUGGAUAGAGAAAAUUGAAGGAGUUUUCGAGAUUUGUUCUUGUCCAGAAGGGAGCAAAGUGAAGUUCGCUGCCUGUACCUUCUCUGAGAGAGCUCUGACAUGGUGGAAUGGCCAUGACAAUUCACUAACACUAGUAGUGGCUAACUCUAUGGGCUGGGAGAAUCUAAAACAAAUAUUACUGCAAGAGUACUGUCCAAGGGGCAAAUUACAAAAGCUCCAACAGGAACUUUGGGGCCUUACUAUGGUAGGCUCGGACAUCACGACAUAUACCAAUAGGUAUAGCAAUUUAGCAAUCCUUUGCCCAGGGAUGCUUGCUGUAGAGAGCAAGAAAAUCGAAAGAUACAUCUGGGGACUGUCACCCCAAAUUCAAGGAAGUGUUCUAGCUUCCAAACCAAUCACCUUCGAUAGCGCCAAAUAGUUGGCACAAGCUCUCGUGGACCAUGAGGUCUGCCAAAACUUCGCAACCACCGCACCGGAGCAACCCAGAGUAAGCAACAACAACAACGAUAAUACCAACAACAACAACAAGAAGAGGUUCUGGAACAAAAGGAAGAGUCAACCUUCACAAGAACCUUCCAAGAAACAACAGAUUGCGACAGUCCAUGCCGCUACUGCCCCCACUACUGCUCCUGUUACCCCCAUCCCAGUAAAGCGAUAUGCUGGGAACUUCCCGAAGUGCAGCAAGUGCAAUUUCCAGCACAAUGGAAAUUGUCGGGAGAUGCACUGCAACAACUGCAACCAAAAGGGGCACAUUGCCUAUUUCUGUAGGGCACCGGCACGACCAAUCACCCAAGUCCCUGGGGUCGGUGUGGGCCAGACGUGUUACGGUUGUGGUGAGGCUGGACACUACAAGAGGGACUGUCCUAAGGCAAGGAAUGCUGGCGGCACGGGACGAGUGCUGGCAAUAGGGCAGAACGAAGCGAUAGCUGAUCCCACGGUGGUUACGGGUACGUUUCUCCUCAAUAACGUUUAUGCAUGCAUACUCUUUGAUUGUGGUGCGGAGAGGAGUUUCGUGAGUCAUAAAUUCAAGCACGUACUAAAACAGAACCCUAAAACACUCAAUAAGAUAUUUACAGUAGAAAUGGAAAACGGUAGAACGGAAAGCACAAACAAUAUGUACAUAGGCUGCACACUAACUCUAAACGAACACUCAUUUCAAAUCAAUCUAAUGUCGAUCACUAUAAAGAGCUUUGAUGUCAUCAUCGGUAUGGAUUGGUUAAGCCUACAUCAUGCCGAUAUACUUUGUCACGAAAGGGACGUUCGCCUAAAUCUGCCAAUCGGCGAAACCCUUGUCAUUUAUGGUGACAAACCCAGUACCAAUUUACAAAUUAUCUCUUGCGUCAAAGCCCAAAAAUACUUACGUAAAAAGUACCAUGCCUUCUUAGCCCACGUGGUAGAUAAGGAAAAAGAAACGAAAGGCAUCAGAGACAUUCAAGAAGUCAGCGAUUUUCCCGAUGUCUUCCCUGAAGAUCUUCCCGGAGUUCCACCAGAACAUCAAGUCGAGUUCAGAAUCGACUUAAUUCCCGGAGCUACACCAGUAUCCAAGUCACCAUAUUGUCUAGCACUGGCAGAGAUGCAAGAACUAUCUAGCCAACCAAACGAACUACUCAACAAAGGUUUCGUCAGGCCGAGCUUCUCACCUUGGGGAGCACCAGUCUUAUUCGUAAAGAAGAAGGAUGGAUCGUUCCGCAUGUGCAUCGAUUACCGGGAACUCAACAAGCUCACUAUCAAGAACCGAUAUCCUUUACCACGCAUUGACGACUUGUUCGACCAACUCCAAGGAGCGAGUUAUUUCUCAAAGAUCGACUUAAGAUCCGGGUACCACCAACUACGAGUCUUGGAAGGAGAUGUUUCCAAAACAGCUUUUCGAACUCGUUAUGGUCACUACGAGUUUGUAGUGAUGCCCUUUGGAUUAACAAAUGCACCGGCGGUGUUCAUGGACUUAAUGAACCGAGUAUGUCGUUCAUUCUUGGACAAGUUUGUGAUCGUAUUCAUCGACGAUAUACUCAUCUAUUCAAAGAUUAAAGUGGAUCACGGUCAACACUUCCGACAAGUCUUGGAAAUGCUAAGAAAAGAGAAGCUAUACGCAAAAUUCUCCAAGUGUGAAUUUUGGAUUCAAAAGGUAGAUUUCCUAGGUCACGUGGUUAGCAAAGACGGAAUACACGUGGACCCUUCCAAAAUCAAAGCAAUCGAGAACUGGUCAGCUCCAAGAACCCCAAUAGAAAUUCGACAAUUCUUGGGCCUUGCUGGCUACUACCGAAGGUUCAUACAGAACUUCUCGAAGAUUGCGAAAACACUUACUACCCUGACCCAGAAGGGUGUAACUUUCGAUUGGAACGAAAGACAAGACGCUACAUUCCAAACACUGAAGCAAGCACUAUGCAGCGCACCUAUUUUGUCCUUCCCAGAAGGAACAGAAGACUUCGUGGUCUAGUAUGAUGCAUCUAAUCAAGGUCUGGGAUGCGUUCUAAUGCAACGAGGUAAGGUCAUCGCUUACGCCUCAAGACAACUCAAGACGCACGAAGUCAACUACACUACACAUGAUCUCGAACUAGGAGCAGUCGUUUUCGCGCUAAAGAUCUGGAGACACUAUCUUGAUGGCACAAAAUGCACCAUCUUCACCAAUCAUAAAAGCCUCCAGCACAUUCUCAACCAAAAAGAACUCAACAUGAGGCAGAGACGAUGGGUUGAACUGCUUAGCGACUACGAAUGCGAGAUUCGCUAUCACCCGGGAAAAGCCAAUGUAGUAGCUGAUGCUCUUAGUCGAAAAGAAUACUCAGGCUGCCGAGUGAAAUCCCUAACCAUGACGAUCCAUUUACAUCUAUCCACACGAAUCAAGGAAGCUCAGAGGGAAGCCUUGAAAACGGAGAAUGUGGUAGGUGAAGCCCUAAGAGGAAUGGACAAGAAUCUUGAAGUCAAGGGGGACGGAGUUCGUCACUUCAUGGAUCGAAUCUGGACACCGAAGUUUGGUGGAUUCAAAGACGUGGUCAUGAACGAGGCGCAUAAGACUCGAUACUCCAUGCAUUCAAGUUCAGACAAAAUGUAUCUGGACCUCAAGAAACUGUAUUUGUGGCCGAACAUGAAAGCAGAGAUAGCUACCUAUGUGGGCAAGUGUCUGACUUGCGCCAAAGUCAAGGUAGAAUACCAGAAACCAUUAGGAUUACUACAACAACCUGAAAUACUUGAGUGGAAGUGGGAACGGAUAACCAUGGAUUUCAUAACCAAAUUACCCAAGACAACAGGUGGAUUAGACACCAUCCGGGUAAUUAUCGAUAGGUUAACCAAAUCCGCACACUUCCUAUCCAUAAAGGAAACCGAUAAGAUGGAGAUGCUAACUCGAACUUACAUCCGAGAGAUUGUACGACUGCAUAGUGUACCAAUACCCAUUAUCUCUGACAGAGAUAGUAGGUUCACCUCGCGAUUCUGGCAAUCGUUACAAAAAUCCCUAGGAACAAGGCUCGACAUCAGUACUGCUUACCAUCCACAAACCGACGGUCAAAGUGAGAGGACCAUACAAACCCUAGAAGAUAUGCUAAGAGCUUUUGUAAUCGAUUUUGGUAAAGCAUGGGAUACCCAUUUACCACUAAUUGAAUUUUGGUAUAACAAUAGCUAUCACUACAGCAUUAAAGUUGCUCCAUUUGAAGCCCUCUACGGCCGGAAGUGCAGAUCACCACUGUGCUGGACUGAAGUAGGUGACACGCAACUAGCCAAGGGACAAGUACCCGACAGCACUCUCACUGGACCAGAAAUCAUAAGAGAGACAACCGAGAAGAUUGUAGAAAUUCGGGAACGACUAAAAAGUCUUUAUAAGAAUAUCUAUUAUGUUAGAUAUUGUGUCAAGGGUUACAGAAAUACUGAGAACACUAAAAUCCGAGUUAUAACGAAGAAGUUAUGACCAUUCUAAGAUUUCCGACAAAACCGGCAACACCGAUUAAACGAAAAACGCGAAGUUUCAAUACAAUAGCAUUUAGCCUUAAGUAUCUAAAUGAAAGUUAUAGAUAACAUUAAACCAUGAGCGUACACAAAAAGAACGUCCAAAUCUGACUUCGUAUGAGGAAGUUAUGAUUUUUCCAAGAUCCGAAUAUAGCAGUACACAGCUAAAAACUCGAAAUAGAGCUCGAGAGACUUUUGAACAAAACAACCUAAAGGAGAAUCGAAGGUCUCAACAUUAGUAGCGCAACGGCGAAAAGUCUGACGAAAACGGACAUUAGAUGAAGAAGUUAUGGAUUUUAUAAAGACUUUUCGUGUCCCGGCCCGUUAAAAAUAAAUAAUUAAAAAUAAAAUCAGAAUUUGCCUAUGAAGUCUAAACGAGAGUUUUAGAUCAUAUUUUUAGCUACGCGUUCAUAUAAAGAACGUCGAAAACAGAGCUCGUACGCGGAAGUUAUAGAUUUUACAAGUUUGGGGUCCAAAAUCCGAGGCUGUCAGGCCUCCCCACGACGUGGCACUGUUUUGCCGCGACCUGGCAAGUGACUAAGGGCGUCCAAUCAAUGGAAGAGGAUAGAAUUGCUCCCCACGACGUGGCACUCAAAAAUACCCCCUAUAAAUAGAACUCUUGGGGUGCCGGGUUUAGGUACUCCAUUCUUCCCUCUCUCGUGCUGAAACUUUGCGGUUAAGCUCCCAAAGCCCUCCCGAAGCCCCGAUUUUCACACUCAAGUUCCGAAGGAAGGUUCUACUCUCCCGAGAUUCCUGAGAUUCCCGAGAAUCCCGAGAAAAUCGACUUUCACAAGCCGAAGUUCUGCUCGAUUUUCAUCUCGUUUUCCCUAAUCAAUCAAGUGAGUUCAUACCCCUAUAAACUAUACUUUCAAAUGUUUAUCACUGCUGUUUAUUCACUUUUAAGGGGGGGAAAUACAAGUAAACACACGGUUAUUAUCGUGUGUAACAUAAAGUUUCAAUAUAUACUCGUUACUAUCAAGUGAAUCAUAUGUGAUUCAUAACUACUACAUGGGAACUUUUGUAUGCAAUAUAUAUUCACGACAACAUCUUGUCUUUUGGAAAUAAAACAUGUUUAUAUAUAAUUAUAUAUAUGCGAAUCAAACCCUUUAUUUACACUUAAGUAUAUGUGAUCAAUUAUGUCACUUUAGAUGUUAUACUUUACAUAACAAGUGAGCAUUACACUUGGAUUUACUAUAUGAACGAAACACACACUUUGAAUAACUAUAAUAGGUAUAGUUACGAGGAAAUCAUGAACAUUUACAUACUAGAAAUACUAUAUCAAAGAGAUAUUUUCAUAUUCAAGAACAAAUGGACAUUUUCAUACGUAAAUCUGUUUUAUACUAUGUUUUGUGAGACAUUUCACGUACCUUGGAGUAUACAUUUUAAGUCCUAUAUUAUAUACCAUAAUCCCUUGUAAGGGGAGCGUGAUACUUGUGUAUAGAUCUAUACGGGAUUGACAAUCCCGCACCUAAGCUGUUAGCUAUAGCUAGGCCCGCAAGCCUGGGGUGACAAAUGUCAUAACAUUUCAACGCCUGAAGAACGUUGUUACAGGCAGUCUGGGUCGUUAGUAUGGUUAUAAAACUCACAUGGAGUAUUAAGAACUUAUUGUUUUACCGGGUUAUCAAAUGCCUUAGUGCUUUUUUACUUACACAAUUUACUACUCUAGGCAUGAAAAACACGAUUGCAUUUCAGUGUUGGAACUUUUAAACUACCACACACUUAUGAACGGAUAUUGGAUUUAUAAAAGAAAACCUUCAAAACAGUCGAGUCUUUGUAGAAGACUACUUU